rnacentral:rRNA from 1 species
UUNGUGAACCAGCGGAGGGAUCAUU